GCAGUAGCCUGGUCUUUCCUCCUGGUGUGGAGGAACUUCGUCCUUCACUAGUGUCGUGCCUGGUCUGCAGAACACAAUCUGGAUUGAAGAGGUCUUUCCGGAAUACUGAUCAAGGUCAAGACGGUGGUGAUGGCCAGAGUUAUGGAUGUGAAGUUCAAGUGCACAACAGAAGGGGACAGUUCAAGUAAUCUCAGUGCACCCCUAUGCCAUGUUAUUGACUUGGACGCUCAUUAUGGUGACACUUACCUAUUGCAAGAACAAGAAUGAAUGGCCUCCUCCUGCCGAAUCUGGAAGUACAGUUGUCACUCCAUGCCCCCAGUAAAGGCUGGAGUAAAAAUCCUUAAGAAGAAGAAAAACAUUUCACAUAUUACAAACUUUCCAGGCGCUGGAUCUAUUGAAAAUUUGUUGCUGAAAUCUUCAUCAACUAUCGAUGGUUGAAAACCCAGUGAUCAUGAAGACAUCCUUGUUUAAAUGGAGUGGUAGCACACAUAUAUGGCCACCGCUCCCUUCACUUCUAUGUGACUGCCAGAGAUAGUUGAGUCCUGCAUUCAGUAGUCCCACAGUGAAUGGAGAGAGCAUCAGUCAUGCAUGUACACCCCUGCAUACUUGUGGACCCUUGUUUUCAUGAUCUCCAAUCCUCUGAGUUGGUGAUGAAUGUUGUUCAUGGGCCAACCCCUUUAAAGAAACACAGCCAGUGGUGUGAAAUAUUCUCAUGUACCAUUUGCCUAUUACAGCAGUCUUUACUUUGAUUAUGGAUACUUAAAGGGGUUCUCCGGGAAUUAAGAAAAUGAAAAUACUAAAAUAUUACUUCAUUAUAAAUAUAUUACCA